UAUAAAACGCCGCCGGUUCGGGAUUUUGAGCACAUUUGCGGUCCACAGUACUGCAACAACCAACCGGUACUGGUAUUCGGGAAGUCGCCGAAGAUGGCUUCCAAGUUAUUCGGGUUGGUGAUCUUGGCGGCGGUGUUUGCCUACAGUGCGGCCACUUUUGGGAAAGAACAUGUUCAUAUAAGAAUCCACGUUCCUGAACCCGCUCCUCACCACGAAGUCCACAAGGAAAUAGUCCACGUCCACGGAGGCGGCGGUGGCGGUGGCGGCG